rnacentral:rRNA from 1 species
UACGUAGGGUGCAAGCGUUAAUCGGAAUUACUGGGCGUAAAGCGUGCGCAGGCGGUUAUGUAAGACAGAUGUGAAAUGCCUGGGCUUAACCUGGGAACUGCAUUUGUGACUGCAUGGCUAGAGUUUGGCAGAGGGGGGGUAGAAUUCCACGUGUAGCAGUGAAAUGCGUAGAGAUGUGGAGGAAUACCGAUGGCGAAGGCAGCCUCCUGGGCCAACACUGACGCUGAGGCACGAAAGCGUGGGUAGCAAACAGGG